GGCUAAGUUUUGAAGAGCACACGGUGGAUGCCUGGGCAUCAGGAGCCGAUGAAGGACGUAGGAGGCUGCGAUAAGCCUCGGGGAGCUGUCAACCGAGCUGUGAUCCGAGGAUUUCCGAAUGGGGAAACCCGGCCAGAGUCAUGUCUGGUCACUCACGCCUGAAUCUAUAGGGCGUGGAGAGGGAACGUGGGGAAGUGAAACAUCUCAGUACCCACAGGAAGAGAAAACAACCGUGAUUCCGUGAGUAGUGGCGAGCGAAAGCGGAUGAGGCUAAACCGUGCACGUGUGAGAGCCGGCAGGCGUUGCGUGUUCGGGGUCGUGGGACCAUUUGGGCUGUGCUGCCGCAUGGCCGGGAAGUCAGAAAGUUCAGUGCUAGUCGAACGGUUUUGGAAAAGCCGGGCGGAGCGGGUGACACCCCCGUAGACGAAAGUGCUGGGCCUUCCUGGAAUGGGAUCCCAAGUAGCAGCGAGCCCGUGAAAUUCGCUGUGAAUCUGGCGGGACCACCCGCUAAGCCUAAAUACUCCCUGAUGACCGAUAGCGGACGAGUACCGUGAGGGAAAGGUGAAAAGUACCCCGGGAGGGGAGUGAAAUAGUACCUGAAACCGUGUGCUUACAAUCCGUCGGAGCCUCCUUUGCAGGGGUGACGGCGUGCCUUUUGAAGAAUGAGCCUGCGAGUUAGUGGUAUGUGGCGAGGUUAACCCGGGUGGGGAAGCCGUAGCGAAAGCGAGUCCGAACAGGGCGGUUCAGUCGCAUGCUCUAGACCCGAAGCGAAGUGAUCUACCCAUGGCCAGGAUGAAGCGACGGUAAGACGUCGUGGAGGUCCGAACCCACCAGGGUUGAAAACCUGGGGGAUGAGCUGUGGGUAGGGGUGAAAGGCCAAUCAAACUUCGUGAUAGCUGGUUCUCCCCGAAAUGCAUUUAGGUGCAGCGUCACGUGUUUCUUGCCGGAGGUAGAGCACUGGAUGGUCUAGGGGGCCCACAAGCUUACCGAAAUCAACCAAACUCCGAAUGCCGGUAAGUGAGAGCGUGGCAGUGAGACUGUGGGGGCUAAGCUUCAUAGUCGAAAGGGAAACAGCCCAGAUCGCCGGUUAAGGCCCCUAAGCGUGUGCUAAGUGGGAAAGGAUGUGGAGUCGCCCAGACAACCAGGAGGUUGGCUUAGAAGCAGCCAUCCUUGAAAGAGUGCGUAAUAGCUCACUGGUCAAGUGGUUCCGCGCCGACAAUGUAGCGGGGCUCAAGCACACCGCCGAAACCGCGGCAUUCACACUUUCGAUCCGCCCCGCCCUUGAGGUUGGGGUGCAGUCGUGUGGAUGGGUAGGGGAGCGUCGUGUGGCGAGUGAAGCGGCGGGGGAACCCAGCCGUGGACGCCACACGAGUGAGAAUGCAGGCAUGAGUAGCGAAUGAGGAGUGAGAACCUCCUCCACCGAAUGACCAAGGGUUCCUGGGCCAGGUUCAUCCGCCCAGGGUGAGUCGGGACCUAAGGCGAGGCCGACAGGCGUAGUCGAUGGACAACGGGUUGAUAUUCCCGUACCCGCGGAAGAGCGCCCAUGAUGAGGCCGGUGAUGCUGACCGCCCGAACCAGUCCGUCCCUUCGGGGGUGGGGUGGGGAGCGCGGGACCCGAUCCGGUAGUAGUCAAGCGAUGGGGUGACACAGGAAGGUAGCUCCGCCAGUCAGUGGUAAUACUGGUGUAAGGGUGUAGGUAGGUCUGGUAGGCAAAUCCGCCGGGCUGUUGAUCUGAGACCUGAUGCAUAGCCGAUUGAGGCGAAGUAGAGUGAUCCUAUGCUGUCGAGAAAAGCCUCUAGCGAGCUCUGAGCGGCCCGUACCCCAAACCGACACAGGUGGUCAGGUAGAGAAUACCAAGGUGAGCGAGCGAACUAUGGUUAAGGAACUCGGCAAAAUGCCCCCGUAACUUCGGGAGAAGGGGGGCCGGGUGGCGUGAAGCCCUUCGCGGGCUAGCGCGGUCCGGCCGCAGAGACCAGCGAGAAGCGACUGUUUACUAAAAACACAGGUCCAUGCUAAGUCGCAAGACGACGUAUAUGGACUGACGCCUGCCCGGUGCUGGAAGGUUAAGAGGACCGGUUAGUCCCUUCGGGGGCGAAGCUGAGAAUUUAAGCCCCAGUAAACGGCGGUGGUAACUAUAACCAUCCUAAGGUAGCGAAAUUCCUUGUCGGGUAAGUUCCGACCUGCACGAAUGGCGUAACGACUUCUCGACUGUCUCAACCAUAGGCUCGGCGAAAUUGCACUACGAGUAAAGAUGCUCGUUACGCGCGGCAGGACGGAAAGACCCCGGGACCUUUACUAUAGCUUGGUAUUGGUGUUCGGUUCGAAUUGUGUAGGAUAGGUGGGAGACUGUGAAGACCUCACGCCAGUGGGGUUGGAGUCAACGUUGAAAUACCACUCUGUUCGUACUGGACAUCUAACCUAGGUCCAUGAUCUGGAUCAGGGACAGUGCCUGGUGGGUAGUUUAACUGGGGCGGUUGCCUCCCAAAGAGUAACGGAGGCGCCCAAAGGUUCCCUCAGCCUGGUUGGCAAUCAGGUUUCGAGUGUAAGUGCACAAGGGAGCUUGACUGUGAGACCGACGGGUCGAGCAGGGACGAAAGUCGGGACUAGUGAUCCGGCACCGCCUUGUGGAAGGGGUGUCGCUCAACGGAUAAAAGGUACCCCGGGGAUAACAGGCUGAUCUUGCCCAAGAGUCCAUAUCGACGGCAUGGUUUGGCACCUCGAUGUCGGCUCGUCGCAUCCUGGGGCUGGAGUAGGUCCCAAGGGUUGGGCUGUUCGCCCAUUAAAGCGGCACGCGAGCUGGGUUUAGAACGUCGUGAGACAGUUCGGUCCCUAUCCGCCGCGCGCGUAGGAGUCUUGAGGAAGGCUGUCCCUAGUACGAGAGGACCGGGACGGACGAACCUCUGGUGUGCCAGUUGUUCCACCAGGAGCACGGCUGGUUGGCUACGUUCGGAAGGGAUAACCGCUGAAAGCAUCUAAGCGGGAAGCCUGUUCCAAGAUGAGGACUCCCACCCUUCGUGGGGUAAGGCCCCCGGAUAGACCACCGGGUUGAUAGGCCGGAAGUGGAAGCACCGCAAGGUGUGCAGCUGACCGGUACUAAUAGGCCGAGGACUUACCACA
rnacentral:rRNA from 1 species